rnacentral:rRNA from 2 species
UGGAAAUCAUUCAUAGAGUGUAAAGGCAUAAGGGAGCUUGACUGCGAGACCUACAAGUCGAGCAGGGUCGAAAGACGGACUUAGUGAUCCGGUGGUUCCGCAUGGAAGGGCCAUCGCUCAACGGAUAAAAGCUACCCCGGGGAUAACAGGCUUAUCUCCCCCAAGAGUUCACAUCGACGGGGAGGUUUGGCACCUCGAUGUCGGCUCAUCGCAUCCUGGGGCUGUAGUCGGUCCCAAGGGUUGGGCUGUUCGCCCAUUAAAGCGGUACGCGAGCUGGGUUCAGAACGUCGUGAGACAGUUCGGUCCCUAUCCGUCGUGGGCGUAGGAAAUUUGAGAGGAGCUGUCCUUAGUACGAGAGGACCGGGAUGGACAUACCUCUGGUGUACCAGUUGUCGUGCCAACGGCAUAGCUGGGUAGCUAUGUGUGGACGGGAUAAGUGCUGAAAGCAUCUAAGCAUGAAGCCCCCCUCAAGAUGAGAUUUCCCAACUUCGGUUAUAAGAUCCCUCAAAGAUGAUGAGGUUAAUAGGUUCGAGGUGGAAGCAUGGUGACAUGUGGAGCUGACGAAUACUAAUCGAUCGAAGACUUAAUCAAAA